UCGUGCCUACGGGGGGCAGCAGUGGGGAAUAUUGCACAAUGGGGGAAACCCUGAUGCAGCAACGCCGCGUGAGUGAAGAAGUAUUUCGGUAUGUAAAGCUCUAUCAGCAGGGAAGAAGAAAGACGGUACCUGACUAAGAAGCCCCGGCUAACUACGUGCCAGCAGCCGCGGUAAUACGUAGGGGGCAAGCGUUAUCCGGAUUUACUGGGUGUAAAGGGAGUGUAGACGGCGAUGCAAGUCUGAAGUGAAAGGCGGGGGC
rnacentral:rRNA from 1 species